UUUUCAUUGUAUAUUUUUGUAGAAGCAAGGAAUGUGGAGAUAAUGCAUGCUGCUAAGGAUGUAAAGGUCUUGUGUUUAGUGGUUGUGCCUGAGACACCAGUCACAGUUGUACCUUAUUUCCAUUUUAGGGAGUCUAUACAACAUGUAUACACUUGAGAGGCGAGCAUCAGAUUUAAUUUUGAAGAUGGAUGACUUUCAGAUGUUGUGAUGAAGAUUGUUGAAAGAGAUUAUCAACAUAGAACCAAUCCAUAUGAAUGUGCAAGUCAGGACUUGUACAACACCUGAGUACCCAGAUGACUGUUGAACUAAUUGGUGAACAAGAAAAGAUGUCAGAGAGGGGAAUCCAAUACAGAUGUCAUGAUCAAGAAAAUGUACUGUUAUCAAUGAUAUGAUCAAGAAUUUGUAAACUUGUGGCGAUUUAGAAUAUCUUAUCUGUAAUAUAACUCUUCAAUACUUAAUUGUUCACACAUUAUCAUCUUAUCUCUAUAUUAAUCGCCCCCUCUUAUAUAACCCCCUGCUGAUAGUAAUGACCUGUGUAUUGAUUCCUGAUCUUAAGGAUCUUAUAAUGUGCUCCUGAUUGUCAGGAGCGGAUCUUGAGUACAUGUAUAUAUAUAGUGCGACAGAAUUUUAGAAUAUGAUAGGAAGAUGGAAAUAUAGAAGACUUAGUAGAUAGAACUGUUAGAGAUAGAUAAAGUUACUUACUUAGUUGGAAUAUUACCUAAUAUUUCUUGGAUUUAUAUGUACAUGUGGUUAUUUAACUUGGAUUUUAUUUUUAGUGAAUUAUUUUUCCUGAAUGUUUCUAUUUGUGAUGUGCUGUGUAAAUAAACUGUAUACUAGAAAUUCGGCAUCUAUUUUCAAGAUAUGAGGAACAAUGAUAAAUUGAUUUAUUCAUGCAAACUGACAUUAUGAAAUGUGUUAUAAGACCGCCCGAUUCGGCGCUACAAACUAACUAGGAAAUAUCUUUGAAAUUUAUAGAUGAACAUGAAAGCAUUCAUUGUUUUAAAUGUUAUUCAUUGAGAGUUUUUGCACAAAUUCAAUUUUCAGUACAGUAAUUUAAACUGGAUGUUUGAUUUUCAGUACAGUUAUGUAAAAUGAAUAUGUUUCUUAUUUUGAUUGUCAGUUUCUCAACAGGACAUAAAUGUUAUUUA